UGAGUACGAGCUGCUACGGCAGCGAAGUGGGUGAUGUCAAGCUUCCAAGAAAAGCCCUAUACCCGUUAAGGCAUGACGGCCUGUACCCGAAACCGACACAGGUGGGGUGGUAGAGAAUACCGAGGGGCGCGAGAUAACUCUCUCUAAGGAACUCGGCAAAAUGGCCCCGUAACUUCGGGAGAAGGGGCGCCACCGCAAGGUGGUCGCAGUGAAGAGGCCCAGGCGACUGUUUACCAAAAACACAGGUCUCCGCUAAGUCGCAAGACGAUGUAUGGGGGCUGACGCCUGCCCAGUGCCGGAAGGUUAAGGAAGCUGGUCAGCGCAAGCGAAGCUGGCGACUGAAGCCCCGGUGAACGGCGGCCGUAACUAUAACGGUCCUAAGGUAGCGAAAUUCCUUGUCGGGUAAGUUCCGACCCGCACGAAAGGCGUAACGAUCUGGGCGCUGUCUCGGAGAGAGGCUCGGCGAAAUAGAAUUGUCUGUGAAGAUGCGGACUACGUGCACCCGGACAGAAAGACCCUAUGAAGCUUUACUGUAGCUUGGUAUUGUGCCCGGGCUCUGAAUGCGCAGGAUAGGUGGGAGGCUUUGAUCCAUUGCUUGCGGGUGAUGGUGAGCCAACGGUGAGAUACCACUCUUUCAGAGCUAGGGUUCUAACGGUCACCCGUUAUCCGGGGACCGGACAGUAUCAGGUGGGCAGUUUGACUGGGGCGGUCGCCUCCUAAAGGGUAACGGAGGCGCGCAAAGGUUCCCUCAGGCUGGUUGGAAAUCAGCCGACGAGUGUAAAGGCAGAAGGGAGCUUGACUGUGAGACCUACAAGUCGAACAGGGACGAAAGUCGGCCUUAGUGAUCCGACGGUUCUGAGUGGAAGGGCCGUCGCUCAACGGAUAAAAGUUACUCUAGGAUAACAGGCUGAUCUCCCCCAAGAGUUCACAUCGACGGGGAGGUUUGGCACCUCGAUGUCGGCUCAUCGCAACCUGGGGCUGAAGUCGGUCCCAAGGGUUGGGCUGUUCGCCCAUUAAAGCGGUACGCGAGCUGGGUUCAGAACGUCGUGAGACAGUUCGGUCCAUAUCCGGUGCAUGCGCAGGAACAUUGAGAGGAUUUCUCCCUAGUACGAGAGGACCGGGAGGAACGCACCUCUGGUGUACCAGUUAUCGUGCCAACGGUAAACGCUGGGUAGCCAUGUGCGGAGCGGAUAACCGCUGAAAGCAUCUAAGUGGGAAGCCCACCUCAAGAUGAGUGUUCCCAUGGCAUAAGCCAGUAAGGUCACGGGAAGAACACCCGUUGAUAGGCUCUACGUGGAAGCGUGGCAACACGUGAAGCGGAGGAGUACUAAUAGACCGAGGGCUUGAC
rnacentral:rRNA from 1 species